GUGUACUUGCUUUGGCUUUACAUACGCUAAAACUGGAGCGAUACAAAGAAGAUGACCAUGGCCCCUGAGCAAGGAUGACACACAAGAUCGUGAAGCGUGGAAAAAAAGG